CAUUAAACAAAAAUCUUACCCUAUCCAAUAUUUUUCUCUUAGAAAAGAACAUAUCGAUAAGCUCAAUUUUCUCCACAUCUACAGUUAGCGGGAAAGAUGGUUAGAGAAAAAUCAGGGAGUGUUGGAGGAAAUUUCAAAACCACCUUCUCUCCCAUGUUAUUUUUGAAGAAAAUCAGCGAAGAAGAAAUAUAAUUUGGUGAGUCUCUCCAAGGUUUGUUAGAGGAAAAUUAGCAUGGUGGUAACCCGCGUUUCUCUGCUAAAUGUUACAAAAAGAUUAUCUGCAUCUCAAUUGUUUGAUUACAGAACAUAAAAUUCACCGUUCUCUUCUUACAAUUUUUUGUGGUUUUGCAUCGGUUGAAUUUAUUCAGACCCUAUCUUGGUGUUCCAAUCUCUUAAAGGGAUGCAAUUGAUGUUUAUCUCAAACCUUUGAUAGAUGAAUUAAAGGAAUUAUAGAAAACUGGAGUUGAGAGCAUUGAUGCAUCAGCUAAACAAAAUUUUAUGCUACAUGAAGCUUUGUUAUGGACCAUUAAUGGUUUUCUGGCAUAUGGAAAUUUGUCAGGAUGGAUUACCAAAAGGAAAAUUGGUUUACCCGUGUUGCAACAAAGAAACUCUUUCAACUAGGUUGGUAAAAGGUCAAAAGGAUUGUUAUAUGAACCAUAGAUGCUUUCUUCCUCAUAAUCACAAAUGGAGGAAAGAUAAUGAUUCCUUUGAUGUCACACAUGAGCAAAGAUUACAACCGAAAAUGUUAUCUCGUAAUGAUAUACUUUAUCAAGUAGGUGAUUUAGAAGGUCUAACAAAAUCAAAGGAUCCAAGGCAGAAAAUUAAAAUAUCACACGCGAAUAGAGGUGAUAAUUGGAACAACAAGUGUAUUUUCUUUGAUCUUCCAUAUUGGAAUACUCUAUGGUUGCGACAUAAUUUAGAUGUGAUGCACAUUGAGAAGAAUAUUUGUGAUAAUAUAUUGGGGACAAUCUUAAAUGUCAAAGGAAAAACCAAAGAUACCUUGAAUUCGCAAUUGGAUUUGCAAGCAACGAACAUAAAGAAGGAAUUGCAUCUGAUAGAAAAAGGACAUAAAUAUGAGUUUCCUACUGCAAGUUACACAUUAUAUCCUACACAUAAGAACAAAAUACUUCAGUUUCUUAAAGAAUUUAAAGGUCCCAGAAGGGUUUUCAUUAAAUACUUCUCAGUGUGUCAACCUUAAAGAUUGGAAACUUUCAGGAUUGAAAAGCCAUGAUUGCCAUGUUAUUCUACAACAUUUAAUUCCACUUGCUUUAUGUGGUAUGCUCUGCAAAUCUGUGCUUGAAACACUUAUUGAGUUUUCAAUAUUUUUAAAUAUACUUGGAGCAAAAUGUUUAAGAGUAGAUGAGAUAGAGAAAAUAGAAGCCCAAAUUCCAAUCAAUUUGUGGAAGUUAGAAAAGGUUUUCGUUCGUGCAUUUUUUGAUAUCAUUGUCCACUUGUCAAUUCAUUUAGCUAAUAAUGCUAAGAUUGUUGUGCCUAUCCAAUAUUAAUGGAUGUAUCCGAUGGAGAGAUGGCUAUACUUUCUAAAAUCAUUUAUUCGUAACAUGGCUCGCCUAAAAUGUUGUAUUGCACAAGGAUAUAUAGCAUUUGAAUGUAUGAACUUAUGUUUAAGGUAUUUGCAUACGAUGGAUACAAAAUUUAAUCUCUCCAAAAGGAAUUAUGAUGGUGGUUCUAUUGAAUCUGAUGGAGGUUUAGAAUUUUUUUUCAACCUAGAAAAAGUUUGAGGGGUGACAAACAAGUCAAUCAUGAUUAAAGUGAAUUUGAGCUUGCACAUUUUUAUAUUUUGAGGAACUGUGAUGAAAUUAAACCAUUUCUCGAGUAAGUAAUGGCUCAUUAUAAUAAGUUACUCUUAUAUUUUUCAUAGCCUUACAUAAAAUGACAUGUUAUACUGAAAUAUAAAUUAUUAGCAGAGAAUUUUAACAAAUUUCAAUUGAUACAUCAAAAAAUUAUUCAGAGAUUGAAUGGAAUAGACGAUUCCUUAGUUGGUUAAAACUAAAGGUGAGAAGUUAAGCCUUGUAUAUCUAAAAUCAAUUUAUGAAUUAUAUUUUCUGAGCAAUCUAGCUAAAUUUUAUAGGUUCAAGAAUUUCACAAGCACGAUAAGCGUAAGAAAAUAAUGGAUUUGCUCUCAUUAUCAUUUGGUCCUCUUCCAUAUGUGACAUGUUUUAAAAGCUAUGCUACUAAUAAAUAUAGGUUUCAUGUGCGAGAUUAGAAUAAACGUUUGAGAACUCAACAUUGUGGGGUGGUUGUAGUUGGUGAGACAAAUGAAGAGAAUAAAAAUAUUGAUUAAAUUAGAUGAAUAUGACUUUAUAAGUGUCAACGAAAGCGAUUUUUUAAAAUAAAUGAGCCUUUUAUUUUCGCCAAUAAAGCAUCACAAGUGUUUUAUGCUGAUGAUCUUGCAAAAAUGGAUGUCAUAUUGUACAAAAGGAUUAAGCUCGUGUUUCUUUUGAUGUUGGUGAUAAAGAGUCUGACGAUUCAUCAUAGCUUCAAGGAAUCUAGGAGGCAGUUGUGACUUCGAAUUUAUUUUUGAGUUCUUAUUUUAGUAUACUAUGGUUUUAAUUUCAUUUUUCAAUUAUUUUCUUGGUGAUUCUUUGGUUGUUCAUAUAUAUGGACUUUUUAUAAGUAGUAACGUAAUAUUAUUUAUUUACAUGUAAAUUGUGCUUAAAAACAUUGAAGCUUGCUAUGAUUUUAUGCGUAUAUUUUGAGUGACUUGUAAUUAAUUAUUUUUCUUUUUUAAAUAUGCUUUAUAAUAUACAUUUUUUGAAACUUAUAUUCUAUUCCUGGGAUGACCACAUCCCUGUCACUAUUUUGAGAUGUAGAUUAGUUAGGUUGUAGAUAUGUAGAAAUCAAGCACUUUCAAAAUGUCAAUUUCAUGUCAUUUUUCAUUCUAGAAAGCUAUUCUUAUUCUAUUUAAUAUUGUUUUAUCUUGGUAGUUGUACCUCUAGAAAGAGAUGUAGUAUUGAAAACUUGUUCAAUGACUAUUCUAUUAUUGGAUGAACUAAAAAAGAAGUGCUUUUUCUACAAGUUUACCUGGAUCCAUAAAAAAUUCUAAACUCUAGAAUAAAAUCAACUGUCAAGCCUAAUAAACUUUCAUACCUUCCACCUGGUGAUUUUGUAGUUAGGGGACGAGGGAUAAUCAUACAAUAUUUGGGAUCUGUUAGAGUUAGGGCUGAAGAAAGAACUCCAAGAAGCAAAAUUCUAAACAUCAAUCCAUCAACAUCCUAUAGAAAUGAUCAAGUACAUAAUAUUGAUCAUGUACUCCUGGUUUUGAUCUAGCUGAAGGUAAUGCUCCCUGCUCUCCAGAAUUCGAACUAAUGGAGGAUGCUAAAAUAAAUGAAAUAAGUAUUUACCGUCUCCAUUUUUUUGUUUGCUUUUGGUGUGAUGAAACUCUUCUUUUUGUCUGAAUUAAUUCGCAAGUGCAUGUGAGUCCGAAAAUACUAAAAAUGUUAAAUUGAGACCGUAAAAAUGUUGACCGACUCAAACUUGGAGAAAAGUUAAAUAUCAAUUUUUACCAAAAUUGAGUUGUUGGAAAAAAUUAUGCCUCAUUUGUGAGACACUUGGGUAUUUUAAUUCGUGAUCAUAGUAUGUGCCUAUUACGGGUGCGCUCAUGGACAAACAUUAAAGAAAAUCAUCUAGAGCACAUUUGGGAUUCUGUAACUGUAAGUAUAUGUAGAGUUUUAUUAGCUUUAUAUUUGACUUCUUAUACGAAAAAAGUAAGAUCAAUGUGCUAUAAUUAUGCAAAACAUGUGGGACUAUUAAGGUAAGUAUAUAGAGAGCUAUUAACUAAUUGAGUUUAUGUUUAAUGGUACUUGUGAAAUAUUACAUGAUAAAUUUAGCUUUGAUGACAUGAAUUCCAUGAAAGAACAUGUCCUUCAACACAUGAGAAGGUUGUGGAAUAACUGGAGAGGAUCACUUCACAAGAUUAUGAAGUCUAAGCCAUUUGGUGAUGCUCUAAGAGAUAUGCAAAGAGGGGUAGACAAGAGUAAUUCUUGGUCAGCCUUCAACACCAGCAUCUUCAAGUGAUCCAUAGCUAGUACCAUUAAAAAAGUUGGUAAAUCGAUUUUUCUUUCUCUUUGUGAUGUACUCAAGAUACAUGGAAGGACAUUGAGAUCUCAAUUUUUUCCUUAGCUUUUUGUUGUAACCUGCUUUUUAUUUACCAUGUACAAUUGAUUCCUGGGUGGUCCUUGUAUACUCUCUUUCACAGUAGAUCUGAGACCAAUAAUGUUGGGUGGGGCUCGAACACUCUCUAUUGUAGUGGAAUUUGAAUCUCUACUCCUUUUUUCAGAAAAUCUCAUAUUUCUCAUCCAUA